AUUUCGACACAGCCCAAACAAUUCCAUUUCCUUAUUGUUGAACCAAAUCAAACCGCAAGAACCCUACCUGUCUUCCUCCUCACGCCAUUUCUUCUGAAAAUGGCUGAUUUAUUGCUGAAUUUCUUCAAUAACAUGAGCAACCUUCUCCCCAUUUAGCUGUUAAAUUUCGAAUCUCACCCAGAACCAGUUUUGCUCGGUUCUUGGCUCUCAAUCAAGCAACAAUAACCUUGUACAACCCUUUGUCCCCGAAAGCCUACCCUACAACACCUUUCUGCCUGAGACGUUGAACAAGCAGCGCCUACACCACCUUACGGUCGAGAGAAGAAGGCUGCCAGCCUUCUGUAUUGUGAAACGCAUGCAACCUAGCACUUUUUCCAUUCCCUGAUUUCCUUUAAGAAGCAUGUAAGAUUUGGUUUUCAUAAUUUUUGGUACUUGGCAGCAGUUUCUAAAGGAGACGAUAUCAUCGAAGAACCCUUCUAGUUGUUAGCUAGAUUCGUUACCUUGAAGCGACAUUAUCGUUUGAUUACAGAUCGGAACCGACCUAGAACGAUGGGUUAGCGAUGUUGAUUAGAGUGCCAAGGAUGUCAUAUUGAGCUGAGCAUGGGAAAUUUUGUAGUUUUGUAUUAGGUUUUUGGAUAAAUGUAUAUUAGACUUGGUUGUGUGGUUGUUAUAUUGGACUUAAAGUGAUUUGUUUGUUUACCUUGUGUUUAGAUUAGACGUUUGGUUUGAGAAUUAGCUGAGUUAGUUACGUUAAAGAGCUGGUGACCCUUUUGCUCAAGUUUUGGAAGUGUGUUUUAAGUUUCUUGGGAAAUGAACCCCGUGAUGACCCUAUUUACUCAGUCAACGGUAAGUCGGGUUGUUACACCCUGCAAUCUCCUUGAUGUUCUUAUGGGCAGCACCACAUAGCCUCCUGUACAAGUAUCCUAGGGCUGCGGAGCCCCAACUAUACUCGGCGAUGCGCUCCCAGGGGUCGUCAAGUAAAGUCAAAUAUAGGAGCUGUAUUUGAUUGUUUGUUUUAUCGGCAAACAAGACAACUAUCAAAUAUCUUCGAGGAGAUGCGAGAAGGUCUGAACCAGCCAUGUGCAGUGCAAAGCGCUCCCCCUGAUCACUUCUGCUGGAGGGUGCUCUCCCAAUAUGCGGUGCACCAUGUCACGCUAGCUUGAUAGUUGGCGUCUUGCUGUACACACGGCAUGUCCCUCAAUGGGAAGCCGUGUUAGUAAGGCUACAUCAAGCAGUGUGAUGGUAGCCUCACCUAGAGGAAGAUGAAAUGUGUGCGUCUCCUGACGCCAUCUCUCAACCAGUGCUGUGAUAAUAGCAUGGUCAACUCUGCCGUAUGCAAUGAGGUGAAAGUCAUACAACCUCGUAAGCUCCAGGUACGGGAUGAUCCUUUCAUCGAUCACCCACGGAACGGAAUCUGGAUGCCUAGUGCCUAACGUGUCUGUAUCGGACACCUAUGAAUAUAGACAUAUAAAUUAGUCACUUGUAUGUUAUCAUUAGUAAAACGCAAAUCAUUACUAUCGUACACCUAACCUGGGCAUCCCAAAAAGGAGUUCUCUUGUGCUCCUGCUGCAUAGUUAAUACACUAGGGUCUUGGAGCUGCUGGAUCCAUCUCCUUUACUACUGUGUGUGCAAUAACUUUAGUUAAUAUUACUAUUAUGUAUCAUACAUUUGUGUGGUAAGUUUAACAUUAUUAUAUAUGUUAUAGAGUAUCAUACUAGUAUAAUAUAUACAGUAUAUUCCCUGGAGUUACAGGUUCUAGUGUUGUGACCUUCACUCCCACACAACGACAAUUAUUUCGUUUCUUUUUUCCCUCAUCCAUUUCAUUGGCAAUUCUCUUAGACUUAGGCCUCCCUUUACCACGAAUUUGAUCGGGAUCACGUCUAAGUUCAAAGCCCGUGUAUUAAAGCCAUGACCUCUUAUCGAUCAAUGGCAUAAAGUAAUGUUCAUAUGUACUUGCAUAACUUUGAGAAGUAUAGCACGAAUCCACAAACCGCUCAUACGAAAGGUGUCGUUUGAUGCAAACAGCAAGUACAUGUGAACAAGGUAGGUGGUAUAUCUCAAGUUUGUUACAUGUGCACUUCAUUUGAUUCAAGUCCACAUGUUGAAUCUUACCCCCCUUAGACGAUCCUCUAUUUUCCCUCCCAGUCUUAUUUUCGAAUACACCUCUUCUAUAAUCAAAAGCGAUUAUGUCAUGGAAAUUUGCCUUCUCGGUGUUUCUAUUGAUAAUCGUGAUGGCAUGCGCUGUGUACAUGUGUCCUCCAAGUAAUCAUGCACUAGCAUGUUCACAUCUUUGAACAAAAUAAUCAUUUACCGAUAGG